rnacentral:rRNA from 1 species
UACGUAGGGUGCAAGCGUUGUCCGGAAUUAUUGGGCGUAAAGAGCUCGUAGGCGGUUUGUUGCGUCGGCUGUGAAAUCCCGAGGCUCAACCUCGGGUCUGCAGUCGAUACGAGCAAACUAGAGUGUUGCAGGGGAGACUGGAAUUCCUGGUGUAGCGGUGAAAUGCGCAGAUAUCAGGAGGAACACCAGUGGCGAAGGCGGCUACCUGGCCCACUCUUGACGCUGGAGGCGCGAAAGCUAGGGGAGCAAACGGG